GAUGAACGCUGGCGGCGUGCCUAAUACAUGCGAGUCGAGCGAACAGACGAGGAGCUUGCUCCUCUGACGUUAGCGGCGGACGGGUGUGUCACACGUGGAUACCCUACCUAUAAGACUGGGAUCACUUCGGGAAACCGGCGCUAAUACCGGAUAAUCUAUUGCACCGCAUGGUUCAAUAGUGAAAGACGGCUUUGCUGUAUCUUCUAGCUGCAUCUGCGCCGCAUUAGCUAGUUGGUAAGGUAACGGCUUACCAAGGCUACGAUGCGUAGACGACCUGAGAGGCGGAUCGGCCACACUGGAACGGGAACACGGACCAGGCUCCUACGGGAGGCAGCAGUAGGGAAUCUGCCGCAAUGGGCGAAAGCCUGACGGAGCAACGGCGCGUGAGUGAUGAAAGUCUUCGGAGCGUAAAACUCGGUUAUGAGGGAAGAACAAAUGUGUAAGUAACUGUGCACGGCUUGACGGUACCUAAUCAGAAAGCAACGGCUAACUACGUG
rnacentral:rRNA from 1 species